UACGGAGGAUGCGAGCGUUAUCCGGAUUUAUUGGGUUUAAAGGGUGCGUAGGCGGAUUUUUAAGUCAGCGGUAAAAUGUCCGGGCUCAACCCGGGCGGGCCGUUGAAACUGGGGAUCUUGAGUGGGCGAGAAGUAUGCGGAAUGCGUGGUGUAGCGGUGAAAUGCAUAGAUAUCACGCAGAACUCCGAUUGCGAAGGCAGCAUACCGGCGCCCGACUGACGCUGAGGCACGAAAGCGUGGGGAUCGAACAGG
rnacentral:rRNA from 1 species